CCCCCCUCAAAGAGCCACAUUUUAAAAGGAUAUAGGUUGUCAAUCAGGUCAGCCAAAGGCCUGGUUAAAAAGGAACAUUUUUGCCUGGCACCUAAAGGUGUAUAAUGAAGGUGCCAGGCGAACUUCCCUGGGGAGAGCAUUCCACAGACGGGGAGCCACUACCGAGAAGGCCCCGUUCUCGUGUUGCCACCCUCAGAAGAUGAUCUCAGGGUCCAGGUAGGUUCAUAUGGGAAGAGGCGGUCCUUGAGGUACAGUGGUACCUCGGGUUACAGAUGCUUCAGGUUACAUACUCCGCUAUCCCAGAAAUAGUACCUUGGGUUAAGAACUUUGCUUCAGGGUGAAAACAGAAAUCGCAUGGCGGCAGUGGGAAGCCUCAUUAGCUAAAGUGGUACCUCAGGUUAAGAACAGUUUCAGGUUAAGAACAGACCUCCAGAACGAAUUAAGUUCUUAACCUGAGGUACCACUGCAUUGCGGUCCUGAGCUUUAAAUGAAUGGCUGCAACCACGCAACCCUAGAACCCGGGCUCAUCCAAUGAAGGAGGCCAAAGGAAGCCUUUUUAACACAGUUAAACUGUGGCCUUUCCUGCCAGUGAUGGCUACCACCUAUAACGGGAGUUUAUGGAGGAUAACAAUAGAAUGGCUUCUUGUUUCAUUUAUUCCUGGUGGAAUAUGCACAAAGCUUGGAUGGCUUUAAAAGAUGGUUGGACAAAGGCUAAGGCUUUCAAUGGCUACUAGCCAUGAUGGUUAUGUCACAUUCUGCCUGGAGGAAGCUUCUGAAUCUCAGUUAUCGGAAACCUCAGGAGGGGAGAGGGCUCUUGCUCUCUGGGUUUCCCUUUGGGGCAUCUCCUUGGCCACUGUGAGAACAAGAUGCUGGACUAGAUGGCCUCCUUUGCCUCGAUCCAGCUGGGUUCUUUCUCUUGCUCUUAUCUAUGAAUUAAAGCAGCACACACAGAGAGCUCUGCUCCAAGUUACAACGCCCCCAGCUGGGCAGCAGCCCAGUGUUAUUUUGAGGCAGGUUUCGUUGCACAUUCCAAGGGAAACUUUGAAAGGGAAAGAAGGGGAAAGGCCGGGGAGGUGGAGUGGGGGUGUAACAUUGCUAGAACUGAAACACAGUCCAAAAACUUAUGACAGCCAACCUGCUAAUUCUAGCACUUUUGGGGAGGAGGUUACUAUGUGUAAAGGCAGUUCUAAAGACAACAGCAAACAAACAAACAAACAAGCCCCAGGCAAAGCCAAUGGGACCUUAAAACGAUAUAAAGAAAUCUGUGGUGUUACAAUAUCACAGAAUUGUCGGAGAAUUCGGAUGAAAAGAGGAACAGGAGCAGAAAUUGCCCACCUCUGCUUAUUUAUCCCAUGUCAGGAACAGAAAUAAAUCCAGUGAAUAUGAUCGAUAUUCACUGCUGCCCAAUGAGUAUACAAUUAUU